CACUGCAGCUAGCUCUUUGUAGCUCUCACAUGGCCGUCCCUAAAGCUAAGCAGGGCUGCUCCUGGUAAGUAGCUGAAUAGAAGACCACAUGGGAAAACUAGGUUGCUGCUGGAA
rnacentral:rRNA from 1 species